rnacentral:rRNA from 1 species
AAGCCCAGCUUGCUGGGUGGAUUAGUGGCGAACGGGUGAGUAACACGUGAGUAACCUGCCCUUGACUCUGGGAUAAGCCUGGGAAACUGGGUCUAAUACUGGAUUGACUUCUCACCGCAUGGUGGGGGGUGGAAAGAUUUAUUGGUCUUGGAUGGACUCGCGGCCUAUCAGCUGUUGGUGAGGUAAUGGCUCACCAAGGCGACGACGGGUAGCCGGCCUGAGAGGGUGACCGGCCACACUGGACUGAGACACGGCCCAGACUCCUACGGGAGGCAGCAGUGGGGAAUAUUGCACAAUGGGCGCAAGCCUGAGCAGCGACGCCGCGUGAGGGAUGACGGCCUUCGGGUUGUAAACCUCUUUCAGUAGGGAAGAAGCGAAAGGACGGUACCUGCAGAAGAAGCGCCGGCUAACUACGUGCCAGCAGCCGCGGUAAUACGUAGGGCGCGAGCUAUCCGGAAUUAUUGGGCGUAAAGAGCUCGUAGGCGGUUUGUCGCGUCUGCCGUGAAAGUCCGGGGCUACCCCGGAUCUGCGGUGGGUACGGGCAGACUAGAGUGCAGUAGGGGAGACUGGAAUUCCUGGUGUAGCGGUGAAAUGCGCAGAUAUCAGGAGGAACACCGAUGGCGAAGGCAGGUCUCUGGGCUGUAACUGACGCUGAGGAGCGAAAGCAUGGGGAGCGAACAGGAUUAGAUACCCUGGUAGUCCAUGCCGUAAACGUUGGGCACUAGGUGUGGGGGACAUUCCACGUUUUCCGCGCCGUAGCUAACGCAUUAAGUGCCCCGCCUGGGGAGUACGGCCAAGGCUAAAACUCAAAGGAAUUGACGGGGGCCCGCACAAGCGGCGGAGCAUGCGGAUUAAUUCGAUAACGCGAAGAACCUUACCAAGGCUUGACAUGUUCCUGACCGCCGUAGAGAUACGGUUUCCCCUUUGGGAGGUUCACAGGUGGUGCAUGGUUGUCGUCAGCUCGUGUCGUGAGAUGUUGGGUUAAGUCCCGCAACGAGCAACCCUCGUUCCAUGUUGCCAGCACGUAGUGGUGGGGACUCAUGGGAGACUGCCGGGGUCAACUCGGGAAGGUGGGGACGACGUCAAAUCAUCAUGCCCCUUAUGUCUUGGGCUUCACGCAUGCUACAAUGGCCGACAAUGGGUUGCGAUACUGUGAGGUGGAGCUAAUCCCAAAAAGCCGGUCUCAGUUCGGAUUGGGGUCUCAACUCGACCCCAUGAAGUCGGAGUCGCUAGUAAUCGCAGAUCAGCAACGCUGCGGUGAAUACGUUCCGGCCUUGUACACACCGCCCGUCAAGUCACGAAAGUUGGUAACACCCGAAGCCGGUGGCCUAACCCU